rnacentral:rRNA from 1 species
AUUGAACGCUGGCGGCAUGCUUUACACAUGCAAGUCGAACGGUAACAGGCCGCAAGGUGCUGACGAGUGGCGAACGGGUGAGUAAUGCAUCGGAACGUGCCCAGUCGUGGGGGAUAACUACUCGAAAGAGUAGCUAAUACCGCAUACGAUCUAUGGAUGAAAGCGGGGGACCGUAAGGCCUCGCGCGAUUGGAGCGGCCGAUGUCAGAUUAGGUAGUUGGUGGGGUAAAGGCUCACCAAGCCAACGAUCUGUAGCUGGUCUGAGAGGACGACCAGCCACACUGGGACUGAGACACGGCCCAGACUCCUACGGGAGGCAGCAGUGGGGAAUUUUGGAUAAUGGGCGCAAGCCUGAUCCAGCAAUGCCGCGUGCAGGAAGAGGGCCUUCGGGUUGUAAACUGCUUUUGUACGGAACGAAACGGCUCUGGUUAAUACCCGGGGCUAAUGACGGUACCGUAAGAAUAAGCACCGGCUAACUACGUG